UACGGAGGGUGCGAGCGUUGUCCGGAAUCACUGGGCGUAGAGGGCGCGUAGGCGGCUUCUCAAGCGUGUGGUGAAAGUCCGGGGCUCAACCCCGGAUCGGCCGUGCGGACUGGGGAGCUCGAGUUCUGUAGAGGCGGGUGGAAUUCCGGGUGUAGCGGUGGAAUGCGUAGAGAUCCGGAAGAACACCGAAGGCGAAGGCAGUGUCCUGGCGAGUGACUGACGCUGAGGUGCGAAAGCCAGGGGAGCGAACGGG
rnacentral:rRNA from 1 species